GAAUCAUCGCUUUUGGGAGAAUCCUCGUUAUUUAAAUGUGCAGGGGAUUCUACACUCAUUGGGGCGAGAUUGUCACCAGUUGGCAGAUUUGUGGAAGACGUUUCGGGUUGUUCAUCAACACUCAUCGAAUUAUUUCCAUCUUCUGGUUCUUGCUUGGGCUGUUCAAUAUUUUCAGCUGGCUCAUUAUUGUUAAUGUCACUCAUUCUUUCUUUAUUUGACCGAUGUUGUAAAGCAAAGAAUGUCUUUCUGCAACUUGAUUCAAAUCCGUGGUUCCUUGAUUUAUCGUUCGACUUAUUGGAAAUAAUAGGAAAUUUAUUUCCCUAGCUUAUGGACUUAACUUUUAAUACUUUAAUCCAGUGUUUCAAGAAACCACUAGGCCAACUAAAAUAGGGAUGGUGGAGGUGGACUAUAUUCUGUAUUCGUGGUAAAGUAGCAUUGUUAUUUACGUAUAUAAGGGCUAAGAUCGAAAAGUAAAUAAUUCCAAUUCUUGGAAUAAUGC